CUGGCUGAGAUGUGGACAGCCCCUACAGAAGCCAGGCCAGAUGUCCAGGAGGCAGUGUCCACAGGCUCCUCCUGCAAAGGAAGAACAGCUGUCCACCCCAGCUCAGCUCUCAUCAGGGAAUAUGGUCUUUUCCAUGGGGUGAGACUUUUCGCCCAGGGACAGUAUUCCUAGUCAACUUGUCCCAUCUGCCACAAGAAAGGUGUGAUCCCAGCUUGAGAAAGUCCCCUGCAGGCAGCCCUGCAGAAUUCUCCAGAGGGCCGCCUCCUCCCAAUCACUUGCAAAUCCUCCAAAAGUCAUCACAGCAAGUUCCAAUACCUGAGUCCUCAGACCCCACUCAGAGUAAAGCAUGGGAAAACCUCAUCCAUGGAAUGACUCCAAGGGCGGCCGAGUCUUCUCUCUGCCCUAUUUCUGCCCUCUGGUUAAUCACCAACUGCCUCUCCAUGCAUGCUUCUUCAAGGCCACGAUUCACAGUGGCAACUGGAUUCUGCACUCAACACCACUUGCCACAACGUUAGGCAAUGAUGGAUGUCCUGAUCAUGGUCAACCUGAAACCUUUAUGAGGUAGCAGCAACCUCCUCUAGCCCCUGCCUAAUGGCAGCCACAGUCUGCUCUCUGCUGGGGACGGUGGCUUCCAUAAGAUGCUUCCAUUUCUCUGUGUCUUUGCAAGUUGCUUGUCCUCCUACCGGUAAGUGGCCUUUUGCACAUCCUCUGGGAGAGAUUCUGGGAGCCAUUAUUGUCCAUUCUACAAUCACAUUAGUAUGAUCUCAUCUUGUGUCCUUUUCUCCCUAGACGGUCCCAAGAUGUCAUGGCACCAGACAUAGGAAGUCUGUGUGAGUGAUGUCGAUGGUCUGUCUGUCCAGCUUGUCCCUAAAUUGAACCCAAGAAGAGAAGGAUCCUAGAAUCAUCAUCUUUCUGGGACAAGAUGACUUGUCCUCUGAGCAACACUAAGCUCAUAGGAAGAUAUUUUUUUUUAACUAAUCCGAGAAGAAAGGUGUGACUUAUUCCACUUUGAGGUGGAAAUAGCACCCUAUAACCCAACGCUUUCCAAACCACCAUCUACUAUUCUGGCAAAGGAGAUUCCCCAGGAUCCUAUGCUGGUCUUAGUCACUGUACCAGGCUGAGCUGCUCAAGAGAGCUCAGCAGAACGUCUCAGGAGUUUCUGUCUAGCGGUUUGGAGAUCUGGCUUGCCAUUCUGUUCAAAGUAAUGCGACUACACUGUUCGCCUGCUCCCAUCCACUGGAAUAUGCAGUGAGUCUCCUCCCUCUACCUCCAUCCUCCCUUUCUUCUCUGUCUCUGCUCUUUCCCUGACUCCAUCUCUGUCUCUCUGUGUGUCUCUGCUUGUACAAGAACAAGUGCCGGGCAGGUGAGCGGCUCUGUCUUAAACUGCAUCCCCCCCGCAACAUAUAUCACUAAACCCUGAAGAAGUCCAUAAACAGCAAAACCAAAUGCAGACAUAAAGCAAAAUACAAUUGAUUGGAAUAGAUACAUGCAACUGAAACCAAGCAAACAAACAUG
rnacentral:lncRNA from 1 species